rnacentral:rRNA from 1 species
UACGUAGGGGGCAAGCGUUGUCCGGAUUUAUUGGGCGUAAAGAGCGUGUAGGCGGCUUGGUAGGUCUCGCGUUAAAACCUGAGGCUCAACCUCAGUUCGCGUGGGAAACCACCUAGCUAGAGUCCGGAAGAGGAGAACGGAAUUCCCAGUGUAGCGGUGAAAUGCGCAGAUAUCAGGAGGAACACCGGUGGCGAAGGCGGGUCUCUGGGCAGUAACUGACGCUGAGGAGCGAAAGCGUGGGGAGCGAACAGG